CUAGCAAAUCCCAUAAACCGUGGCUCAGUUCAGAUCGUAGGCUGCAACUCGCCUACGUGAAGUAGGAAUCGCUAGUAAUCGCAGGUCAGCAUACUGCGGUGAAUACGUUCCCGGGCCUUGUACACACCGCCCGUCACACCAUGGAAGUUGGCCAUGCCCGAAGUCGUUACUCCAACCCUUGUGGAGGAGGACGCCGAAGGUAGGGCUAAUGACUGGGGUGAAGUCGUAACAAGGUAGCCGUACCGGAAGGUGCGGCUGGAUCACCUCCUAA
rnacentral:rRNA from 2 species